UUGCCCCCAUCUGUCUGCCUUCAGUUCCCUUAUCACCUCUCGAGGGGCUCCACGAGGGAACUGCUAUGGUCUGAAUGUUGAAAAAAUUCAUCUGUUGAAAACCUAAUGUCCCGAGCGAUGGUGUUAAGAGAUGGGAUUUUCGGGAGGUGAGGAGGUCAUGUGUGCAGACCCUUGCAAAAGGCAUCAAUGCCCUUAUACAAGAGGCCUAGAAAGCUCCCUCGCCCCUUCCGCCAUGUGAGGAAACAGCAGAAAGCCCGCCUAGAAGGCGGACUCUCACCAAACACUGAAUUGUUGGCACCCUGAUCUUGGAUUCCUCAGCCUCCAAGACUGUGAGAAAUUUAUUUUUGUUGUUUACAAGGCACCUAGUUUGUGGUGUUUUGUUCAAGUAGCCCGAACAGACUCAGACAGAACCUAGGAGGAAACUGUUGCCGAGUGCAUGAAUGUGCACACACGUGUGUAAGGUGCACGUGUGCGCGUGUAGCUAUGAUAGCAGAGAAUAUAUGACCUAUUUCCCCGUGUCCCUUCUCCCCCCAUCCCCAUAUUUCCCAAACCAGAACUUGGGACAUGUGAUUUGAUAGGAAUUUUCGAAUUUGGGAAUUGAGGUAUGUGGAAAAAAAUGAAAUGAGGAAACACUUUUUCAUCUUUUUAAAUUAAAAAUAUAUAGUGAGGGGGCACCUGGGUGGCUCAGUUGGUUAAGCAUCUGCCUUCAGUGCAGGUCGUGAUCCUGGAGUCCCAGGACUCAGCAGGGAGUCUGCUUCUCCCUCUCCCUCUGCUCCUCCCCCUGCUCAUGCUCGUGCUCUCUCUCAAAUAAAUAAGAAUCUUUAAAAAAAAAAAGGUAAUAACAACCAACAUUUAUUUAAAAAAAAAAAAAUAUAUAUAUAUAGUGAGAUGUGAUUUUAAAAGACCAACGGGUGUUAUAUAUUGCUGGUGACAGUAAAACUAUCACAGGCUUCCUGGAUAUAUCAAGAGUCAUAAAAAUAUUUGUACCAUUUGACCAGUGGUCCUGUUUCUAGGAAUUUAUUACAGAAGAUGAUUGGGGAAUAUUUGGCAAUAGAAGAAAGUGCUCAUAAAUGACAGUCAUGCCUCUGGCAAGAAGACUGCCUGCCUCUGUGGCAUGGAAAUUAUGAAUAGGAAGACUUUGUAGCAGAAUAAGAAAAAAAAAAGAGAAAGAGCACACACAAGCAGGAAGGGGGAGAAGCAGAGGGAGAGGGAGAGAGAAUCUCAAGCAGCCUCCACACCCAGCGCAGAACCGGACGUGGGGCUCAAUCCCAGGACCGUGAGAUCACGAUCAGGGCUGAAAUCAAGAAUCAGACGCUCAACCAGGCCCGAGAAGAAUGUGCCGGACUUCCAUCUGCGGGACAUGCAGCUCCUGAGUCUACUUCACCUGCUAGGGAGCCUCGCUCUCACACGGGGGCCAGCACUGGGCACAGCAGCGCAAGAGUGGUUGAUGGGGAAGGCUUCCUCCUACCUCUGGGCCGAGGGGACUCGAGGGUCCAAGGCCACCUCCCUCCUGGAGUGACCUAGCUUCAGGAUGUGGCUGAUGGGACCCCGCAGAAGAAAAUGCAGACCUUGGGCAUAGGUCUCUGAGAGUCUCAGUGUGGCUGGGGAAGGUCAGCCUCUCCAGCCUGGUCUGUGAGCUACGC